rnacentral:rRNA from 1 species
GCUCAACCUGGGAACUGCAUUCGAAACUGGCAGGCUAGAGUCUUGUAGAGGGGGGAGAAUUCCAGGUGUAGCGGUGAAAUGCGUAGAGAUCUGGAGGAGUACCGGUGGCGAAGGGGCCCCCUGGACAAAGACUGACGCUCAGGUGCGAAAGCGUGGGGAGCAAACAGGAUUAGUACCCUGGUAGUCCACGCCGUAAACGAUGUCGACUUGGAGGUUGUGCCCUUGAGGCGUGCUUCCGGAGCUAACGCGUUAAGUCGACCGCCUGGGGAGUACGGCCGCAAGGUUAAAACUAAAUGAAUUGACGGGGGCCCGCACAAGCGGUGGAGCAUGUGGUUUAAUUCGAUGCAACGGAAGAACCUUACCUACUCUUGACAUCCAGAGAACUUAGCAGAGAUGCUUUGGUGCCUUCGGAACUCUGAGACAGGUGCUGCAUGGCUGUCGUCAGCUCGUGUUGUGAAAUGUUGGGUUAGUCCCGCAACGAGCGCAACCCUUAUCCUUUGUUGCCAGCGAUUCGGUCGGGAACUCAAGGAGACUGCCAGUGAUAAACUGGAGGAAGGUGGGGAUGACGUCAAGUCAUCAUGGCCCUACGAGUAGGGCUACACACGUGCUACAAUGGCAUAUACAAAGAGAAGCGACCUCGCGAGACAAGCGGACCUCAUAAAGUAUGUCGUAGUCCGGAUUGGAGUCUGCAACUCGACUCCAUGAGUCGGAAUCGCUAGUAAUCGUAGAUCAGAAUGCUACGGUGAAUACGUUCCCGGGCCUUUACACACCGCCCGUCACACCAUGGGAGUGGGUUGCAAAAGAAGUAGGUAGCUUAACCUUGGGAGGGCGCUUACCACUUUGUGAUUCAUGACUGGGGUGAAGUCGUAACAAGGUAGCC